GACCGAAUGGCGUAGUGGUUAGUGACCUUGACUACUGAGCCGAUGGUCCCGGGUUCGAAUCCCGGCUGGGGCA
rnacentral:tRNA from 1 species